GCCCCCUCUACCAGAGUGGGAAGGCGGAAGUGGCAGCUUCUGGGAGUUGAGUUUGCAAAGACCUUUGUCAUCUGCGUGAGCCACAGAUCUGGAACCAGAUCCUGGCUCCUGGGCCCCGGCACAGGCUCCUUUGGCUGGUGCCCAGGCCACGUAAGGGCAGCCUGGAAGGCCAUCAGCAAACGCUGCGGGGGCAGACCAGCCAUCAGGGCGGAGAGCAAAAGAGAAAGAUACCACCCCUGUCGGGAGGGAGCUUCCCUUCUAGGGGCAAGAGCCCACGACCUGGUCACCAUGGAGACACAUUCUGAUAGGGACCAGGCUGUGAGCAGCUCAAACAAGGUGCCAAGCUAGGGCAAGGUGCAGGCCAGGGGCAGGGGGCCUACUUUAAGUGGCCAAGGGAGGCCUGCGAGGGAGGUCUGAGGCUCGUUGCCAGUGGCAGGAGUGGGAAGGAAGGGAGAGGAGGUUGGCGCUGCCCCAGGUGGGAGUUUUGUUCUGGAAAGAUUCCUGUGGCUGAUGUGCAGAAGAGGGGAGGGAUGAGGAGCCAGGAGGAGACAGAUUCUGGAGCCCUGUGGAGGGGUGACCGGAGUUUGAACUGGGGUGGUGGCAGAUGGCGGCUGUGCUUCGGAGGUGCAGUUGCCAAGACCUGCCCACAGGUUGGAGUUGGUCUGAAGGAGGGGGAGGCUAAUGGAGGCUGGAGGCCUGAGGCCAUGGGGUAGUGGCACCAUCUACUGACCUGGCGAAAUGGGGGAGGAGCGGACCACAGAGACACAGGGGGUUUGGUAUGAACCCUGGAGUCUGAGACGUGCUGUGGUUUGGAUAUGGGUAAGUGUGUCCCCCAGGGGUUCUUGUGUUGGCAGCUUGGUCCCCAGAGUGGCCAUGUUGAGAAAUGGGGGACUUUAAGAGGUGGGGCCCGUAGGAGGUCACUAGGUGUCUGGGGGUUCUGGAAGAGACUAAUGCAGUUCUCACGAGAUGAUGCUUAGUUCCCACAGAGGGUUGUUUAUAAAAGCAAGAUGGGCCCCUCCUGGGUCUGUCUGACUUCCGCCCUUGCUGUGUGAUCUCCCCCUGUGGCCAUGCUCCUGCCAGGAUGCCAUCCACCUGGAGGCAGCCAGGCAAGACCCACAGAGCCACCACCUUGCUGUCUAGACUUUCAGCCUCCAAACCUAUGUGCUAAAUAACCCUCUUUCUUUGUAAAUUACACAUCGUCAGGUGUUUUGUUAUAGCUAUGGAAAACGGACUAAUAAAGGAACGUGUCAGACAUCCAAGGGGUCGGCAAUGAGACACUUGCAUUGAAGUCUGGCGCUAAGGCAGAGGUCUGGGCUGGAGGUGGGAAUCCAGAAUAUGUGAGGUGCUGAGACAUUCUGAUAGGGACCAGGCUACCAAGAGUGCCACUUGAACAGAGAAUUGGGGGAAAAUUUGAGCCCAGGCUGGGGGCACAGAUAGGCCUGGUGAGGGUCUGGGUUAGCCACAGGCAGGAACAUAGACCUGUGGCCUUCUCUCAUUCAUGGAGAUGUACUUCAUGGAAAGGGAAAGAACAUUCUGAAGCCACCAGUCCUUUUCUUCAUGCCUCAGUUUCUCCUACAGCACACUCCAAGAUGCAGGAUCUGAUCUAGGUUUGCUUUUAGGAGGAGGCUCCCAGAGAUGGCGUUUUUGGCCCAGGGCUGCCUCUUCUUCCCCGUGGUGACAGGCCCGGUCCUACCAUGGCUGAGGGUGGCAGUCCCUAGUGAAGGACCGUUGCAGAGAUCCACAGAAGAGCCAGGGGCUGGGUGAGCUAUGGGAAGUGGAGACGGAAGGAAGGAUUUAGGAAGGACAGGAGGAUGAGGGGGAGGGAGAGGGCAGUGGGGGAAGGGAGGGAGGAGGCCUGGGAGUUGAGAUGCAGGAGAAGAGAGAGGAGGAGAGGAGGGGACAGAGACAGAGACAAGCAGGAAGAGAGAAGGGGGGUGGCUGCCACUGCUGCUCUGGGAGGGACAGCAGAGGGGAGGCCAGGCCUGGGGAGGGGCCUGAGGGACCUUGACAGCUUGUGGCAGAUGGGGAAGGGGGAGUGGGAGGGCAGAGGUGGCCCGGGCCUCAGGAGGAGUGGGAGUGGCGUGAACAUCCCUGGCACCUUCCCGAGGGCGAGUGUGAGGGGCAGCUGGGCGUGGGGCGGUGACAUCUGCCUUGAGAAACAGCGCCUGCAGACGGGCGCGGGAGGACAGCUCCUGCCGCCAGGUGGACGCUGCAGAGGAGGACGGCGGACAGCCUGCAGCCACGCCGGUCCCCUGAGCAGCCACCGCUUCUUCCUGUCACGGCAGCAGUGGGCCUGGCAGAGUGCCCUGCCCAGGAGCGCAGCCGCAGCAGCCUCGCCACCACCGGGAAGGAGGCACUUCUGUUUGUCACCACUUUAUAGACAGACACCGAGGCUGACUUCCCCGGUUACACGCCAAGGCGUUUGGUGACCUUCUUCGUCACUCCAACCCCACAGACAGUGGAACUCAGGGGGAGUUAGAAUGGGGGGAAGCUGUGUCUUAGACAGACAGACACACACACACACACACACACACACAAAACUAGGACCCUGGACACCUAAGAAAAGGCCCCAUUUAGUGGCUGCUCAACCCAAGGGCAGACACUGGGUCCCCGAGGCCCACAGGCUCAUUCACCUAUUCAACAGCUGUUUAUGCCGCCGGCUGAGGUGCCAACAUCUGUUCUAGAUGUUGGAGACGCUGAGCCAGACGGGGGCCCAGCAUCCCAGAACUCACGCUCCACAGAGGAGAGGCCCCAAGCAAGUCAACCAAUCAGCCAGUGCAGAUUGGGAAAAGGAGCAAAUGACAUAAACUGGGGGACAUGGGAGAGUGGCUGGGAUGGCCAGGGACAGCCUUUCUGAGGAGGUGGAAUUUAAUCAAGACCCAAAGUGUAGGAUGGAUCUUACCCUUUGAAGGUCUUGGAGAGAAAGGUUUCAGACCAAGAGGGUAGCAUGUGCAAAGGUCCUGGGAUGACAGGGUAAGAUGUGUGAGUUAAAAGAGGCUGGAGUCCCUGGAGCAGAAUGAGGCUGGGGGUGGGGGUGAAGGUUCAAUGAGGAAGGGGAGGCUGGGAGGGUGCAGUCAGGGCAAGUGAGCUCCACGGGCCACCAGGGCUGGGGUGUCUUCCCUGAAUAAGAGGAAAGCAUAGUGGAGCUUGAAGAAGAGUGAACAUAAUUCAGGGGACAUUUCAAGACUGCUCCUGCUUAUUUCCUUCCAUUAAGGAGGAAGAGCUGGCGAUGACAGGGACUUGGUCAUCACUUGGACCAGGAUGGUGGAAAGAAGCAGGCAGAGCGUGAAAUACUUUAAAUGUGGAAAUACUUUAAACAGGACUCAGGGCUGGGUGUGGACAUGGACAGAGGACCAGGUUGACUCCUAGUUUUCUGGUUCCAGUCAGGGUUGGUGCCAUGUAUUGAGUGUGGAGGGAGGACAGGCUUGGCAGGUGGAAGGGGCACUGGUCUGCCCAGGGUGCCAUUUUGAAUGUCCCAGUUGGAGGUGCCAAGCCACCCAAGUGGCAUGUCAAGCAGGCAGUCAGAAAUGUGAGAUGGGCUCUGGGAACAUGAGUCCCUUCCCUCCUCCCAUGGCCCGUGGCUGCCCGUGUACCUCAGGGUCCUCCAUGCAGCCCCCUCCCCACCCCUCGUUUCCAUCUAGGCCGCUCACUCCAGCACUGUGGGUGCCCGGAUGUGGUGGGGAGUGCUUGCAGAUGAAGGGGAAGGACGCCUGGCUCCUUCCCUUCCUGGCCUCAGCCCUUGGCCCCUGCAGCUCCCUGCUCUCCCCAGCCUUAAAGCCAUGACCCUGUGUGUCUCUGCAGGUGGAUGUCCCCUGGGUCCUGGUGACAGUUGCCUCUGCGGGCUGAAGGCCUGAGAGUGGUGACCAGCAACCUGCUACUGCUUCAGAAAGAGCCCGCCCACCUACGAGAAAACUUCAAGCCCUUCUCCAGCUGGCCCCAGCACGGCAGGCACCGGCUCCAGGGCUAGGAAGGCCACCAGCCCCUUGUCACUCGGCAUCUGCUCUCCUGCCGUCCUUUAGGAAGCCAUCUCUGAUUAUCCCCGACAAGCCACCCUUUGGCACUGCCACCUCGGUGCACCUUCUCCUCCAGCCCCUGAGGACUGGAGGUUAGAAGUGAGGCGAAUUCCCUGACCCGAGGGUAGAGAGGGACCACCAAGGUCUCCUGAAUAAGUGACCUAUCCAGACAGUAGUCAGUGCUGGAAGGAUAAAGCAAGGGGUGGAGCAGACAGGAGCUCCCAGCCCCCUCCCACAGGGAUCCAGAAGCAGGGAGCCCUACACUCUCCCCCUGCCCAACCCCAAAUCGAGAUGCCAGGCAGACCCGGGAACCUGCCUACAACAGAUCUACCUGGGAACCCUGGGGACAAAGCAGAAAUAUUGGGAAAUGGGAUUCUGGGAGCCACACCUGGUGUCUGGCUCUCAUUUGCUCCAGAGCUGCCCCCUGGACACCCACAGGUAGGAGCAGCUUGAUGCUGGUUUCGUGUCUUGGGUCACCAGGACAUGUCAGCAGCCCCUGCUGCCACGUGGAUUCAUAGCCAGGAAGAUGCCAAGAAACGGGAAAGAGGGCAUCAGAGGAAUCCCAGAUUUCCAUCCACGUUUAGAAGGCUCUGGUCACUCCAGACUUAAAUUCUAAUAAACGUCCAAGUGAUCUCAUCGGGGCGGAUUCUGAUGUUUAAGGCCCCAGGUGGAACCGUAGGUGGCAAAACCACCGUGAUUGUCCUUGCCUCGGGAUAUCCUCAUCUCUCACCUGCAGAGCUCAGCUCAAGAGCAUGUGUUCCUAGCAAGAGGCCAGUCUCCCUUCCCGCCCUUGCAUCUGAACCGCGUGUGAUUUACUCAGAACGCAGAAGUCGUGGAAGUGACAGGCCCUAGGUCUCGGAGGUCCAGGGCACUUUUACUCCCUAGGACGUGGGCUCCCACUGGGAGAAGAGGCCUGGGCUCACCUGCGGAGAGACAGCGCCCACCUGGAUCAGGUACACGUGUGCGCGAUCGCCCCAGGUCAGCCAAGCUGACUCACCUCUGGCCACACGCUCAUGAGACAGCGUCAUAGGGACAAAAGCGACUCCCCAGCUGGUCACAGCAUGCAGAGCUGCGAGCUGCUGAGAGGCUGCUCUUUCAAGGCAGGACGCUGUGGCGUGGCUCGUCAUGUCUUUACUAAGUUGAGAUUCCUGGGCCUCAGCACUGUGGCAGACACAGAGCCCACUGAAACAUUGUGACAUGGUCCCUGCCCCUUCCCUGGUAAGUGUGGGAGGAGGGGGGUCAGACGUGUCAUGAAGCACACAGGAGGAGCGGUGCUCAUUUCAGUAGGUCACCCAACACACAUUUAUUG
rnacentral:lncRNA from 1 species